rnacentral:snRNA from 1 species
AUGCUCGCUUCAGCAGCACAUACACUAAAAUUUGAACAACAUGUAGAAGAUCAGCAUGGCUCCUGCACAAGGAUGAUAUGCAAAUUCAUGAAGCGUUCAUAUUUUUC